rnacentral:rRNA from 1 species
GACGAACGCUGGCGGCGUGCCUAAUACAUGCAAGUAGGACGCAGUUGCGAACGGGUGAGUAACGCGUAGGUAACUGCCUAUUAGAGGGGGAUAACUAUUGGAAACGAUAGCUAAUACCGCAUACUAGUAGAUGGACCUGCGUUGUAUUAGCUAGUAGGUAGGGUAAUGGCCUACCUAGGCAACGAUACAUAGCCGACCUGAGGAGGUGAUCGGGCAAACCGGGACUGAGACACUGCCCAGAAUCCGACGGGAGGCAACAGUAGGGAAUCUUCGGAAAUGGGGGGAACCCUGACCGAGCAACGCCGGGGGAGUGAAGAAGGUUUUCGGAUCGUAAAGGUCUGUUGUGAAGGAAGCGGUACUUAACCAGAAAGGGACGGCUAACUUCGUGCCAGCAGCCGCGGUAAUAC